rnacentral:rRNA from 1 species
AAGGAAGGUCCGGGUCCGACCCGUAACCGACGAAGGGGGGCGCCGUACCACGGUGAGAUUCAUGACUGGGGUG